rnacentral:rRNA from 1 species
GGGAGGCAGCAGUAAGGAAUAUUGGUCAAUGGACGCAAGUCUGAACCAGCCAAGCCGCGUGAAGGAUGAAGGUCCUCUGGAUUGUAAACUUCUUUUAUAGGGGACGAAAAAAGGGAAUUCUUUCUCACUUGACGGUACCCUAGGAAUAAGCACCGGCUAACUCCGUGCCAGCAGCCGCGGUAAUACGGAGGGUGCAAGCGUUAUCCGGAUUUACUGGGUUUAAAGGGUGCGUAGGUGGGUCUGUAAGUCAGUGGUGAAAUCUCCGGGCUUAACCCGGAAACUGCCAUUGAUACUAUAGGUCUUGAAUACUCUGGAGGUAAGCGGAAUAUGUCAUGUAGCGGUGAAAUGCUUAGAUAUGACAUAGAACACCAAUUGCGAAGGCAGCUUACUACGGAGUCAUUGACACUGAGGCACGAAAGCGUGGGGAUCAAACAGGAUUAGAUACCCUUGUAGUCC